UACAGAGAGUGCAAGCGUUAAUCGGAUUUACUGGGCGUAAAGCGAGUGUAGGUGGUUUGCUAAGUCAGGUGUGAAAUCCCAGGGCUCAACCCUGGAACUGCAUUUGAUACUGGCAGGCUAGAGUGUGGUAGAGGAUAGUGGAAUUCCCGGUGUAGCGGUGAAAUGCGUAGAUAUCGGGAGGAACAUCAGUGGCGAAGGCGGCUAUCUGGACUAACACUGACACUGAGACUCGAAAGCGUGGGGAGCAAACAGG
rnacentral:rRNA from 1 species